UCACCAGACUCCUACGGGAGGCAGCAGUGGGGGAUAUUGCACAAUGGGGGAAACCCUGAUGCAGCGACGCCGCGUGUGGGAAGACGGUCCUCUGGAUUGUAAACCACUGUCCCCAGGGACGAAGAUGACGGUACCUGAGUAAGAAGCCCCGGCUAACUACGUGCCAGCAGCCGCGGUAAUACGUAGGGGGCAAGCGUUAUCCGGAUUUACUGGGUGUAAAGGGAGCGUAGACGGCAUGGCAAGCCAGAUGUGAAAUACCGGGGCUCAACCCCGGGACUGCAUUUGGAACUGUUAAGCUGGAGUGUCGGAGAGGCAGGCGGAAUUCCUAGUGUAGCGGUGAAAUGCGUAGAUAUUAGGAGGAACACCAGUGGCGAAGGCGGCCUGCUGGACGAUAACUGACGUUGAGGCUCGAAAGCGUGGGGAGCAAACAGGAUUAGAUACCCUCGUAG
rnacentral:rRNA from 1 species